GACGAACGCUGGCGGCGUGCUUAACACAUGCAAGUCGAACGGAAAGGCCCUGCUUUUGUGGGGUGCUCGAGUGGCGAACGGGUGAGUAACACGUGAGUAACCUGCCCUUGACUUUGGGAUAACUUCAGGAAACUGGGGCUAAUACCGGAUAGGAGCUCCUGCUGCAUGGUGGGGGUUGGAAAGUUUCGGCGGUUGGGGAUGGACUCGCGGCUUAUCAGCUUGUUGGUGGGGUAGUGGCUUACCAAGGCUUGGACGGGUAGCCGGCCUGAGAGGGUGACCGGCCACAUUGGGACUGAGAUACGGCCCAGACUCCUACGGGAGGCAGCAGUGGGGAAUAUUGCACAAUGGGCGGAAGCCUGAUGCAGCAACGCCGCGUGCGGGAUGACGGCCUGCGGGUUGUAAACCGAUUUCGCCUGUGACGAAGCGUGAGUGACGGUAAUGGGUAAAGAAGCACCGGCUAACUACGUG
rnacentral:rRNA from 1 species